UACGAAGGGGGCUAGCGUUGCUCGGAAUCACUGGGCGUAAAGCGCACGUAGGCGGAUUGCUAAGUCAGGGGUGAAAUCCUGGAGCUCAACUCCAGAACUGCCUUUGAUACUGGCGAUCUCGAGUCCGGGAGAGGUGAGUGGAACUGCGAGUGUAGAGGUGAAAUUCGUAGAUAUUCGCAAGAACACCAGUGGCGAAGGCGGCUCACUGGCCCGGUACUGACGCUGAGGUGCGAAAGCUAGGGGAGCAAACGGG
rnacentral:rRNA from 1 species